AAACCGUUCCACGUCACCAAAAUCCGAGCUGGAGGGGAGAGACGAAAGGAGAGAGAAGAGAACGGGCGCUUCCUGUAUCGCCCGGCUACAGCGCUAGAUACAAGAAACAACCGCCCGCUUGCAGCCCGAUGCGGGCGCUUGCGUCGGCGAUGUCGAUCCGGACCGAUGCUUCAAAUCGCCCCCAAAUCGCCACCUCCCGGACCUUGAACUGCGGGCGGCACCGGAGCCUCUGGAGGUCCCUCCGUCGGGGCCUUAUCUCGUCCAGCCGGCAGUGCCUCACCUCGUCCUGCCGUCGGUGCCCAUGGCGGCCUCCUCUUCCGCACCAUGCUGGUCCGCCAGGCUGCAGCAGGUGAUGCGGCUCAAGGCCCUUGCUGGGCACCAUCUGCAGGCGUUGAUUGCUCUGCGUCUCCUUGGUUCACGCAUGAAAAUAUGGAUGACUCCGAUCUGGAUGAUUGAGCAAUGAUGUGGUGAUAGCUGCAGGUGGUAUUUGCAUUCUUGAAGUAUAUCGAUGCAAAUGGAUGGUCGCUCCUUUCUACAAAGUUUCAACUAUGCUUUGUGACUUUCGUGCAUGGUCUAGAUCAAAACUAAUGGCUUGUUUGCCUAAGAUCUUAUUUGGCAUUAUGUUUAGUUAACGAUUUCUUAUAGACUUAUGUAAUGUUGAAGUGUCGAUGUGAUGGUGUUAUUCUCCACCAUUUUGAUGCUUAUUGUUUGUCUAGAUCAAAAUUAACGGCUCGUUUGCUGGAGAUCGUAUUUAUUAUGUAAUGUUUAAGUGUGGUUUGAAUAUUAA